rnacentral:rRNA from 1 species
UACAGAGGGGGCAAGCGUUGUUCGGAAUUACUGGGCGUAAAGGGCGCGUAGGCGGCCUUCUAAGUCGAACGUGAAAUCCCCGGGCUCAACCCGGGAACUGCGUCCGAGACUGGAAGGCUCGAAUCCGGGAGAGGGAUGUGGAAUUCCAGGUGUAGCGGUGAAAUGCGUAGAUAUCUGGAGGAACACCGGUGGCGAAGGCGACGUCCUGGACCGGCAUUGACGCUGAGGCGCGAAAGCCAGGGGAGCAAACGGG